rnacentral:rRNA from 1 species
GACGAACGCUGGCGGCGUGCUUAACACAUGCAAGUCGAGCGAGGCCCCUCCUUCGGGAGGGUGUCCUAGCGGCGAACGGGUGAGUAACACGUGGGCAACCUGCCCUCAGCUCUGGGAUAACUCCGGGAAACCGGGGCUAAUACCGGAUACGACCUCCACGGGCAUCUGCGGAGGUGGAAAGUUUUUCGGCUGAGGAUGGGCCCGCGGCCUAUCAGCUAGUUGGUGGGGUAGUGGCCCACCAAGGCGACGACGGGUAGCCGGCCUGAGAGGGCGACCGGCCACACUGGGACUGAGACACGGCCCAGACUCCUACGGGAGGCAGCAGUGGGGAAUAUUGCGCAAUGGGCGAAAGCCUGACGCAGCGACGCCGCGUGAGGGACGAAGGCCUUCGGGUUGUAAACCUCUUUCAGCAGGAACGAAGCGAAAGUGACGGUACCUGCAGAAGAAGCACCGGCCAACUACGUG